UACGGAGGGGACUAGCGUUGUUCGGAAUUACUGGGCGUAAAGCGCACGUAGGCGGAUUUGUAAGUCAGGGGUGAAAUCCCGGGGCUCAACCUCGGAACUGCCUUUGAUACUGCAAAUCUCGAGUCCGGAAGAGGUGAGUGGAAUUCCUAGUGUAGAGGUGAAAUUCGUAGAUAUUAGGAAGAACACCAGUGGCGAAGGCGGCUCACUGGUCCGGUACUGACGCUGAGGUGCGAAAGCGUGGGGAGCA
rnacentral:rRNA from 1 species